GAUGAACGCUAGCGGCAGGCUUAACACAUGCAAGUCGAGGGGUAUUGGUUUUCGGACCAAGAGACCGGCGCACGGGUGCGUAACGCGUAUGCAAUCUACCUUUUGCAGAGGGAUAGCCCAGAGAAAUUUGGAUUAAUACCUCAUAGUAUAGUACUUUGGCAUCAAGGAACUAUUAAAGUCACAACGGCAAAAGAUGAGCAUGCGUCCAUUAGCUAGUUGGUAAGGUAACGGCUUACCAAGGCUACGAUGGGUAGGGGUCCUGAGAGGGAGAUCCCCCACACUGGUACUGAGACACGGACCAGACUCCUACGGGAGGCAGCAGUGAGGAAUAUUGGACAAUGGGCGCAAGUCUGAUCCAGCCAUGCCGCGUGCAGGAUGACGGUCCUAUGGAUUGUAAACUGCUUUUAUACAGGAAGAAACACUCCGACGUGUCGGAGCUUGACGGUACUGUAAGAAUAAAGGAUCGGCUAAACUCCGGUGCCAGCAGCCGCGGUAA
rnacentral:rRNA from 1 species